GGAAAGGGCCAGAUGCUUUGCGAUCAGGCUUCACAAAAAAAUCCUUUAUGGCUAUGAGUACCCCAUUUAACAGGUAAAGAAAUCAAGGCUGAGAGAUGAAAUAACUUAUUCAAGAGCUCAGCCAGGCGCGGUGGCUCACGCCUGUAAUCCCAGCACUUUGGGAGGCCAAGGCGGGUGGAUCACGAGGUCAGGAGAUGGAGACCAUCCUGGAUAACACGGUGAAAGGGGAUAGCAGGAGCAGUUCCAAGACAAGGCCGUGGGGUAGAUGUGUGGAUGUGUUCUCAGCGGCUGUGAAAAGGAACUGGGAGUUCUCUUCACAAACAGGAGCCACAGCCAGCCUCCCAGCACAGUGCAAUAGCUGACCCUUCAAGAAAAUCCCUCCUGUAGUAGGGAGGGGAAUAAGGGUGAGGUUGAGCCCUAAUGACUUAGGGGCUCCUGUAGUGGGGAGGGGAAUAAGGGUGAGGUUGAACCCUAAUGACUUAGGGUCUGUUCUUUGUCCAGAAAGGAAAUUCCCUUCUUUCCAACCACCCAUGAUGCUGUAUUGACAGAGGAAAAAACCUUUGAGAAAGCAGGAGUCAAAAAUGACAAACGAGGCUGGGACUACUCAGUGAUGUGUGUGGCUACCCGUCCUUUCAGUGGGUCCUGGCGGCAGGGACAGGGCACUAGCUGUUCAUUAAUGCCCGAGAGAGAGGUCUCAGCCUGACACAUGGCCAAAUAGAAGUGGAGUCUGUUUAAUAAACUAUGCCCGAGUCUUCCCCUAAAGAUCCCUCUGCAGCCUCUUGCUAAGAAUGUGGGCACCCACAGGCACAGGAGCGGAAGAGGCAGUGUCGGGCUCAGACCCUGGGGCUGGUAUAGUGUGGAAGGGACUGUGUCCUGG
rnacentral:lncRNA from 1 species